CUCCUUCCCGGUUACAUCUCUAAACAAAAUCAUGGCUACACAGAUCGGAUCUGAGAUGACGUUCUUCUGUUGAGCGGUGCUCACGGUGUCAUGACGGCGUCGACCCAACGAACCACACCACUGUAUCAGGAGAGGAUUAACUUGGACCGUGCUGAGAGAGAAUAACAUGAAAAGAGGUUACAAGAAAAGCGUGCUGAAAGGGAAAGAAUGUUGGAAGAGGAGCAAAGUUCAAGACUGGAAUUUGAAAAAAAAAAUAUGAUGGCAAAGUUCAGCCAACAGAUGGCUAAAUUAAGCAAAAAAAAAGGGAAACCAACAGGUGCUUAAGAAGAGGAAUGACAAAGAAAUACGGAGUAGUAAUCCAAAUUUGCAAACUACUAGCUCUAGUCCUAGUAGGAAUCUAGGAGCAAAGCCAAAUGUGAUUUCUUCAAAUGCACUCUUACAAGCUACGACACUGAAUUGUAGAUUUUACAAAGCAAUGGAACCAAAGAAAUUGCUGGAGAGGGUACAAGUAAUGGGAAUACGCACCUAGAGUAGAGAUUUCAAGAAUCACGAUGGUGAUGUAUUAUACAUCAUGGACAAUUUAGUCUUACACUUAAUUAGGAUGGCUACAUUUUUCUUGAGUUUCAUUUGAUGGAUAUUUAUGAUCAGAAUUUUGAUUUGUAUGAACUGACAUAUUAUACGUAUGGUUUUAAAUUUUGUAAUUUAAUGACUGUUUUUUUA